UCAAAAAAAAACAAACAAAAAAACCCCAAAAAAACAAAAAACAAAAAACACAAAUAUAAAGGCCCAGUGUGAUGGAUUUGAUUAUCUCUAGACAUUCCUAACUGUAAAAAUAAAAUCAUCAUUAAAGGUGGGGAAGAAAUGAUAAAAUGGAAGGAAGUCUUACAAUGGGAAUUUGUAGUUUUCAAUAAAGACAAAAAUCUAGAUUUAAAGUAGUACAUGCAUGAAAUAAUAGCACAUGCGUAGCUGAAGAGACCUUGUCAGUCCCAAAAUGAAAUUCAAACAAUGGAACAAUUUUUUUGGCCCAUCAAUUGAUGAAGAAUUUUUUAAAAAUAGCCUUCUAGGGCUGGAGAGCGAGCUCAAAGGCUAACAGCAUGAGCUGCUCUUGCAGAGGAUUGCGUUUAGUUCCCAGCAUUCCUAUCUAGCAGCUCACUCCAGCUCUGGCCUCCUAGGGCACCAACACUUACAUGCACAGAUUCAGACAGACAGACAGACAGACCUAACUAAAAAUAAAAUGAAUCUUUAAAAAAAAAAAUCAGCCUUCUAAAACUACCAAAGGUAUGGCAAAAACAAACAAACAAACAAACAAACAAAAAACCCCACUUAUUCAUGGAAAUGUACAUUAGCCUAGCUUUUUUUUUGAGCAAACUGGGGAAGCAAUUUUCUGCCUUGGCAACCCCAGGUGAAUUUAUCCUACAAAAAGAAAACUACAUUAAAACUUUGAUAUAAAGAAAUCUAGUAAAAUGUUAUUUACAGCAGUGAAAACCCUUUUCAGGGCAAUCUAAAGCUCCAACUAGGAACAACCAGCCAGGCACAGUGUGCUUCCAGCACAUCAGAGCAAGGAAGGAGCAGGAUGUAGGCACAGAACCAGCAGAGGCUGGCUUCAGGCAGGGUGGUUACUAGCAAUUCUUAUUUUCACAGCUUCCCUGAAGCAGAUUAUUAGCCUUCUAUUCAGAAAGAAAAAUAAUAAAUAAAUCACAAUAUACUGCUAAAUAAAAGAUUAUAAAAUUAUAAUUAAUGUACAAUGAUUGACCCCACAGUUGUUUAAAAUGCAUAUGCAUACAAACACACUAAGACAACAAAAUGUAAAAUAAUUUCAUUUGAGUAGUGGAAUUGUAGGUUAUUCAUUAUUUUCUAAAUGUUUAUAUGAAAACUUAUUACAAUUAUAAAAUGAAGUUGUUCAAAGGCUGGAAAUGUGGUAGCAUGCCAAGGCUGUGGGCAGGAGGGGGAAAUGUCCCUGCAAGGGAAAGUUGCCUUCGCUCUGUUCAGGAAAGCCACCCUUUCUCUGGGAUGUCAUGGUGUUUGAUUUCCCCUGAAAUGAGCCUAUGGCACCAUUUUCCCCGCUCUAUUUUCUUCUGAAAACUCCCCUGUACAGGUUCUUUUCAUCUCACUACACCGGAUCUAAAUCCACCCUGCUGUCCAGCAGAUACUGCCUAGGCUGAUAAUCCAAGUUCAGAACCGUCUAGAUUAGGGUACAAUGGGGGUUAACUCACAGAAGUGGGUGCCAGUAGCCUGAAUUAAGACAGAAGUACACAUAAUAGACUUAUGGAUUAAGGAGUAGGAAGGGCCCCAUUAAGAGGGUAGGCAGCAACCAAACUUCAGAGGUCAAGUGAGCAAGACUAGGAAAGAUAGAGGCAGAAAUAACUGUUACUUGGUGGACAUCACAGACUGAUGUUUUACUAUAUCUUGUUUUUUUUUAAAUAAAGUGGUGAGUUACCACAGUUCACAAUUAAGUAGGAUUCAAAUAAACCUAGAUUUUUGGCUUCCCUCAGAGCACCCAACAACAUGGUCCCACUCAGCUCAUCAGCAGAUGAGAAGAAGCCACUCCUUGCUGGUGAGUGAGGGCUGGAGUGCCCCCUUUCUUGCUUGACUUCCUUGUUGUAAAUGAAGAUCCAGUACAAAGCCCAGCCGCAUACCCACCCUUAGCCGACAAGGCAGGAUCCUGGUCCACAGAGCAGGGAUCCUAUCUCAGACCAGGCUGACUCCCCCUCUACUAGGAAGAAACAUCAGCCUCAGCCACAGUCCCGAGGGUCCCGCUCUCCAGUAGGAUGCUCUUUUUGAACAGUUUGGGGGUCCACUAUAGCUACAGCAUUCAGCCAAAUCCCCAGCUGGGCUUCCUUGGCUUUCCUUCUGAACCCCAAGGCCACAAUCCCUUUUGAGGGUCAGCCUCACCUCUGUGGUUCCCAAACUAGUUUCUCUCGCCGACCUGGGAAGAGAACUUAUGAUUCUCUUGACAGCCCUACCUUCUCUGGCAAGUUUACAAAGCACGUGCGUUUUGUGUAGUUCCACAAGUGAAAUAUUUGGAACUGCAGUGUUUAAAACAGAACAAAACCUCCCUUCUAUUAUUAUACAAUUAAGUAUUGUCAUUACCUAAUUAUCAGUUAUUUCACAUUGAUUCUGGUCCAACGGGCUUUCACCAGACACUUUAUUUUGUGGUUUCAUUAACUACUUAAUUAUCUACAUUACUGCCAAAUACAAGAUUCGGUGAAGAUUUGGUGGCAUAAAUUAAGAACUAACUGUAUGUAAUUUCACUUACUAAAUCUCAUUCAUUGAUCACAGGCAAGAAAAUGAUACUACCUUAAGUGCUGAACUAUGAAGGGGUAAGACAUGUUUGUUCUGGCUCCCCCGUGUUAUGGAAUUAAAGUCUUUCCUGCAGAGGCGGAGCAAAGGGGCCUGAAAGUACAUUUUUACCAUAAGUACAUUAUUUGUCAUAGAAUUUCUAGAUUUGGCAAUAGAGCUCAGCCUUAACUUCUUGGACCCGAGUUCAAAUCCUGCCUCUGUACCUCUGCUCAGUGAAUAACAUUAGGGCAAGUUACUUAAGCUUUUGAAGCUUCCAUUACCUUCAGCUGCCACACGACAACACCACAUCACCUAAAGGUUACUAAAUGAGACAAUCUUCUGUAAAAGACAGAAACCAAGGUCAGCUCCUAAUGUCUCCACAACACAGAAGCUGGCUUUCACUUUGGGUCAAUAGGUGGUACUCUAUUUAGUACUAUUUAGACAGGUUUCUCAAUUGAGUCCAAUGGCAGGAGACUUUCUGGCCAAAAUUCUAAAAGGCUACAUGAAGUAAGGAGAGAAGACAAGUCGCAAGUGUCACUGUUUCUGAACUCCCCUAGAUCCUGAGUCCUUCUCUCCCUGGCAUGGUGGUCUCACUCCUCCCUCUCGCGAGGCCAGCCCAGUCAGACUGGCGUCCUAUGUAGGAGUGGGGCAGCACUGCCAACCCCGGGCUGAGGAGCUGCCCGCCCAUGCUCUCUCCCACUGCUCACUGCCCCGGGGUGAACAGGACCGGAAGCACAUGCUGCCCGCCCUCUUCUAAGCAUCAGCUCCACGGCACCUCUGUCCAGUGUGGCUGGAUUUCCGUCCUCUACCUUCUUUUCUUUUCAGUUUCCCUGUUGCUAAGGAGUACCCAUGAUCCUCUACCUCCCAAGGAGAGCCCAGAGACCCAGAGAUUUCUGCUUGGACCAAGACAGGCAGAUAGACUCCAUCUCAAAGAGCACCACAGAAGACCAGGUAUGAAGGCAACAUCUGCAAUCCCAGAAACAGGGAGGUGGAGACAGGAAAACCAUGAAUUCAACGCCAACCUUGGCUACCUUGAAAGUUCAAGCCCAGCCUGAGCUUCAUGAAUGAGACCCUGCUUCAAACACAACCAAAAUGAAAUAAAACCAAAUGGCCGUGGAUGGCUUGUGCGUGGGAUGUUUACAUCUUUUCCACACCUGGCAUAGGACUAUUCCUGUCAGACACCAGAGGCUUGGAUUUCCACCAGGAAAAGAGGUUUUGUUUUCUAAACUCUAUUAAUCGACCAGAACCCUUAAGGUUAGCUGAAACUCUUCCUCCUCCUCCUCCUCGGAGCUGCCAACAGGUAGGGUAAAGGAACCAAACCAACAAACCCAAGCCGAUUCUAAACAAAAGCACCUUGUUCCCUCUGGAAAACAAGUUCAGCUCUGUCCCCACUCCAGCCAUCGGGGGAUCAGAAGCCAACCAGAGAGCAGAACAGAAUUUAAGAUAAUACCACAGAGAUUCAAUUUCAUAUCAAUCCACCAACACCAACUUGACCUCCAGACAUGUAAGCAGAAUGCCACUCAACACUGUGACACGUGAGCAACCAAUUUCUUUUAAAAGCUUCUCUUCAAUUACAAAGCACAUGUGUAAUAUGUCCGUUGAAAAUGUUUUCAAUGUCAUCUCAAACAAUGUUAGAAAAAAUAAUUUUCAAAUGCAAAGGUACUCACAGCUUUAGUUUUUCAAAGACCGUGGACACCACUCUUGUCAAACUUUUUUUUCCUUCCCAUUCUAAGAUCAUUAUCUUAACACCUAUACAACCUGCUCCACAACAAAUCUCAACC